AGGCACAUAUGCUUCAUAUGUUGUCGACGGUGAGAAAGAAGAAAAGCUCGUGCGUCCUCAGACUCUCGACUUCCUGGCUUAGCCUCCUCUAAGAUUUUUCGUGCUCUUGCCACUGCGUUUAUCCCUGCUAAAAUUUACGAAAACUUACCCUGAGACAUUUUGGAGUUUUUAAAGUUUUUAUUUCUUCUUUGGAAAUCCUUUGCACGUAAUGUUGAAACAUUGACUAACUUGCUCAUUAUUUUGCCAAUUGUUUUUAUAGUCUUAGUAAUUUACAAAAAAAAUUCCAAAAUAAGUACAUACCGUAAAAAUGUAAUAACUCCCUAGGGGUUACUAAUUCAAUUAUUUACAAAAUACGGUUAAUAGUGGUAAGUGGUAAUUAAUAUUUUUUACAGUAUUGGAGUUGAAGUGAUGGUAUGUUUUAUUAUAUGUAAACACAUUCCUGGUAUUAAGAUAAUGACGUCACGCCGAGAUAUAAAAAAAGAUGUUGU